UACAGAGGUCCCAAGCGUUGUUCGGAUUCAUUGGGCGUAAAGGGUGCGUAGGUGGCGAUGCAAGUCUGGUGUGAAAUCUUGGGGCUUAACCUCAAAAUUGCACCGGAUACUGCGUUGCUCGAGGAUUGUAGAGGAGAGUGGAAUUCACGGUGUAGCAGUGAAAUGCGUAGAUAUCGUGAGGAAGACCAGUUGCGAAGGCGACUCUCUGGGCAAUUCCUGACACUGAGGCACGAAGGCCAGGGGAGCAAACGGG
rnacentral:rRNA from 1 species